rnacentral:tRNA from 1 species
GCCUCCAAAGCAUUAGUGGCGAUGCAGUUGCCUUGUAAGCAUCAGAAUUCGGUUCGAUUCCGGAUGGGGGCA